GACGAACGCUGGCGGCGUGCUUAACACAUGCAAGUCGAACGGUGACCUCGGUGCUUGCACCGAGUGAUCAGUGGCGAACGGGUGAGUAACACGUGACCAACCUGCCCCCGACUCUGGGAUAACCCCGGGAAAUCGGAGCUAAUACCGGAUACGAGACGCACAGGCAUCUGUAGCGUCUGGAAAGAAUUUCGGUCGGGGAUGGGGUCGCGGCCUAUCAGCUAGUUGGUGGGGUAACGGCCCACCAAGGCGACGACGGGUAGCCGGCCUGAGAGGGCGACCGGCCACACUGGGACUGAGACACGGGCCAGACUCCUACGGGAGGCAGCAGUGGGGAAUAUUGCACAAUGGGCGAAAGCCUGAUGCAGCGACGCCGCGUGGGGGAUGAAGGCCUUCGGGUUGUAAACCCCUUUUAGCAGGGAAGAAGCGCAAGUGACGGUACCUGCAGAAAAAGCACCGGCUAACUACGUGCCAGCAGCCGCCGUAAUAC
rnacentral:rRNA from 1 species